rnacentral:rRNA from 1 species
CCGGCGUCGACAAGGAAUUGACGGGGCCGCGACAAGCGAGGAACAUGUGGUUUAAUUCGAUGAUACGCGAGGAACCUUACCGGGCUUAAAUUGCAGACGAAUUAUCUGGAAACAGGUAAGCCGCAAGGCGUCUGUGAAGGUGCUGCAUGGUUGUCGUCAGCUCGUGCCGUGAGGUGUCGGCUUAAGUGCCAUAACGAGCGCAACCCUUGCUGUCAGUUACUAACAGGUCAAGCUGAGGACUCUGACGGGACUGCCAUCGUAAGAUGUGAGGAAGGUGGGGAUGACGUCAAAUCAGCACGGCCCUUACGUCCGGGGCUACACACGUGUUACAAUGGGGGGUACAGAAGGCUGCUACCUGGCGACAGGAUGCCAAUCCCGAAAGCCCCUCUCAGUUCGGACUGGAGUCUGCAACCCGACUCCACGAAGCUGGAUUCGCUAGUAAUCGCGCAUCAGCCACGGCGCGGUGAAUACGUUCCCGGGCCUUGUACACACCGCCCGUC